CGGAAAUGAUGUUGACGGCAUCCGAACAGGAAGAAAAACAUCAUCAUUGCUAGGAACUUCUGGGUCCUCAGAGCUUAAUGUGCAACAAAUAACUCCACCACGCAUUUCAGGAAAAGCCGGAUUGACAGUUAAUGCGGAGGAUAGCAUUUGAAACUCUGAACUGGAAGCUAGAGGCUUAUCACCAUAUUGGUACACACAUUUGUCACUGAAUUCU
rnacentral:lncRNA from 1 species